rnacentral:tRNA from 1 species
UAUAAUGUGGUGUAUUGCACAAGGGAUUUUGAAGCCUUAAGAGAUUUAUGUUUUCCAUUAUAA